rnacentral:lncRNA from 1 species
UGCAAUCCACCUCCUGCCCACCUUCACCCACUUGGAGGGACAGGGUUCUCUGCAGCCAGCUGGGGCAUUAGUCUCACGAGCAGGUAGCACCUGCCCCAUGCCUUCCCUGGGAGAGGGUGUCAUGAGAGGCCCACCUGGCUCUUCCUUGGGAUUCUUGAAUCUAUAUAUAUAUAGAGAGAGAGAGAGAGAGAGAGAGAGAUGGAGUCUUGCUCUGUUGCCCGGGCUGGAAUGCAGUGGCACGAUCUCAGCUCACUGAAACCUAUGCCUCCUGGGAUCAAGUGAUUCUCCUGCCUCAGCCUCCUGAGUAGCUGGGACUACAGGUGCACGCCACCACACCUGGCUAAUUUUUUUUUGUAUUUUUAGUAGAGACGGGGUUUUAGGGUUUCACCAUGUUGGCCAGUCUUGUCUUGAACUCCUCACCUCAGAUGAUCCGCCUGCCUUGGCCUCCCAAAAUGCUGGGAUUACAGGUGUGAACCACUGCACCCGGUAGAAUCCACAUUUUCUAAGGAGCCGGGGAGGCGGCUGUUUUCAGAGACAAGCCUUCCCGUGACAUAAUAGGUUGUCUUGUUUAUGAGCCUCCUCCUGCCCUUGGCAGCCUUGCCUUCAGCCUUGCCAUCCUUGGCCAGCAGCCUAGUAGCAGGCUGGGCAGGGCUCACAGAUGGGCAGCUUUCAUUCCAGCUUCCUGUGUGGAUGAAGCCCACGUCCCUAGGGGGUCAAGUGACAAAGUGAGUGCAAAUGAGCCCCGGUGCCCUAGCCCAGCCACUGACCUCGAUAUAACAGUAAGCAGAGAAGUCAUCUCUCUAUUUUUAACCACAGUAUUUGUGGACCUCUGUUUUGUAGAAGCUUAGCCCGUAUCCUGCACACUGUCAGAUGCUUUGUGGAGUCAGUGGCCUUUGACCUUGAGAAGCGUACAGUGGGCGGCAUGGGGGGAAAUCAGUGUAGAAAGAAAUUUUCUGGUGGCACCUUCAUGGGACUCCUCACAACUCCAAAAUACUUAGGAACCUUCUAUGCUCAGAAGAGGACACAAAUGGCUGUUAGAAAUUCCUUGCAAUGUUGCAAUGAUGGUUCCAGUUGCUUCACUGUUUCCCAAGGGGGGAAGUGACAAUUGACAGAAUCACCUGAAAGCGCCUUUGCUACAUCACUGAUCUUCCCCUUAAAUCCCUUCCUCUGGGAUUCUUCCCCAUCUCAGACGGAAACCCCAUCUUUCCAGGUGUGUGGGCCACUGACGGUGGAGUUGCGACUUUCCGUUUUCCUAUAGACCCCAUUUCUAAUACAACUGCCAGUGCUGUCAGCAUCGCGUCACAGUGUGCUCAGAAUCUGACUGCCUCUCACCACCUCGAUCCAUGGCACCCUGUGCCGCACCUGCGUGGAGCUGCAACGGUCUCUUCCUUGAUGCUCAUGAAGCCCUCUCAGCACUCUGCUUGCUUCUAUCCCUUCCGCCCCUCCUCUCAGGUCAUCUCGCCCUUGG